rnacentral:piRNA from 1 species
AAAAGGGAUAUGCCAUUUCUGAGACACAAU